AGAGUUUGAUCAUGGCUCAGGACGAACGCUGGCGGCGUGCUUAACACAUGCAAGUCGAGCGGUAAGGCCUUUCGGGGUACACGAGCGGCGAACGGGUGAGUAACACGUGGGUGAUCUGCCCUGCACUCUGGGAUAAGCUUGGGAAACUGGGUCUAAUACCGGAUAUGACUGCAUGCCGCAUGGUGUGUGGUGGAAAGAUUUAUCGGUGCAGGAUGGGCCCGCGGCCUAUCAGCUUGUUGGUGGGGUAAUGGCCUACCAAGGCGACGACGGGUAGCCGACCUGAGAGGGCGACCGGCCACACUGGGACUGAGACACGGCCCAGACUCCUACGGGAGGCAGCAGUGGGGAAUAUUGCACAAUGGGCGGAAGCCUGAUGCAGCGACGCCGCGUGAGGGAUGAAGGCCUUCGGGUUGUAAACCUCUUUCAGCAGGGACGAAGCGUGAGUGACGGUACCUGCAGAAGAAGCACCGGCUAACUACGUGCCAGCAGCCGCGGUAAUACGUAGGGUGCGAGCGUUGUCCGGAAUUACUGGGCGUAAAGAGUUCGUAGGCGGUUUGUCGCGUCGUUUGUGAAAACCCGGGGCUCAACUUCGGGCUUGCAGGCGAUACGGGCAGACUUGAGUGUUUCAGGGGAGACUGGAAUUCCUGGUGUAGCGGUGAAAUGCGCAGAUAUCAGGAGGAACACCGGUGGCGAAGGCGGGUCUCUGGGAAACAACUGACGCUGAGGAACGAAAGCGUGGGUAGCAAACAGGAUUAGAUACCCUGGUAGUCC
rnacentral:rRNA from 1 species